rnacentral:rRNA from 1 species
UACGAAGGGGGCUAGCGUUGCUCGGAAUUACUGGGCGUAAAGCGCACGUAGGCGGAUUGUUAAGUCGGGGGUGAAAUCCUGGAGCUCAACUCCAGAACUGCCUUCGAUACUGGCGAUCUCGAGUUCGGGAGAGGUGAGUGGGAACUGCGAGUGUAGAGGUGAAAUUCGUAGAUAUUCGCAAGAACACCAGUGGCGAAGGCGGAGCCUCGCCUGCCGCUGGACCGAAGUGAUCAGGACGCUUGGAAAGGCCGA